UACGUAGGGUGCGAGCGUUGUCCGGAAUUACUGGGCGUAAAGAGCUCGUAGGUGGUUUGUCGCGUUGCUCGUGAAAACUCACAACUCAAUUGUGGGCGUGCGGGCGAUACGGGCAGACUGGAGUACUGCAGGGGAGACUGGAAUUCCUGGUGUAGCGGUGGAAUGCGCAGAUAUCAGGAGGAACGACCGGUGGCGAAGGCGGGGUCUCUGGGCAGUAACUGACGCUGAGGAGCGAAAGCGUGGGGAGCGAACAGG
rnacentral:rRNA from 1 species